ACGGAGGGUGCAAGCGUUGUUCGGAAUAACUGGGCGUAAAGGGCGCGUAGGCGGUUUGAUAAGUCAGAUGUGAAAGCCCACGGCUUAACCGUGGAAGGGCAUUUGAAACUGUCAGACUUGAGUACCGGAGGGGAAAGUGGAAUUCCCGGUGUAGAGGUGAAAUUCGUAGAUAUCGGGAGGAAUACCGAUGGCGAAGGCAGCUUUUUGGUUGGUUACUGACGCUGAGACGCGAAAGCGUGGGGAGCAAACAG
rnacentral:rRNA from 1 species